UCCCAUAUAGUCCAGUGGUUAGGAUACUCCGCUUUCAGUCCCCUAGAAACGUUCCGGAGAGACCCGAGUUCGAACCUCGGUGUGGGAA
rnacentral:tRNA from 1 species